AACACCAGGCAGUGGAGAUCAUGCAGGCCAUCUUAGAAUUUUGGCUACCACAUGGUCCUGUUUUCAUCUCUCAACCCUGGAGGAUUUUUGGAACUUUUGCUUAUCUUCACUAUUCGAAAAUUCUGGGAAGCUGUUCUGUUCUUGGAUUCACGUCAUGUCUGAUGAUAUGAAAUUCAUUCCUAGCUAUGUCGCACAACAGGCAAGAAGGAAUCAAUAAAGCCAUCAGAGUGGAAGAUAUUCCCCAUGGGAGCAAAGAUAUCCUCCUAGGAAGAUUGAUGAUCAGGAGCAACUGAGGUAAAAAGGGAGAGAGACCCCGAGGAAUGUGGGUAGAUCAUUGGGAGAGCUAGUAACCAUGAUGUCAGACACCAGGGUGUUCCUGAGAGGGAUGCUGUUCCUUUAGAAUGUGAGCCACAACUGCCCAUGAGGAGUUGGCAGUCAUGUUACCUUCUUACUUUUACUGGAAAAUGCUAAGUUCUUUCCUGCCCAUCAUCUAUUGAAUUCAUUCAUCCAUUCCUCUCGCAGCCCCUUGCAUGGUAUACCCAUUCUCAAAUGUUGUAUCUU
rnacentral:lncRNA from 1 species